CGCGUGUAGGAUCUUUCAGCUGCAGUCACACCAGGUCCUGAUCUCGAUACCCCUGCAGUGCACCAGACACGUUGGAGCUGGAGUCAACACUCCGAGCGGCCUCCGUCACCUCAUCAGUUUUAUUUCAGAGCAACAGCUUCUUAGAAGUUUCCAUUGUACCCAGGGGGAUAAUAGAGAUGAAACCAAGUACCAUCAAAUGUAUAGUAAUACCUACUAUCUGUGCAAAAUAUUACCCUUUUUAAAGAAUACAUAUUGAAAACUGGC
rnacentral:lncRNA from 1 species